GACGAACGCUGGCGGCGUGCUUAACACAUGCAAGUCGAACGGAAAGGUCCUGCCUUUGUGCGCUGCUCGAGUGGCGAACGGGUGAGCAACACGUGAGUAACCUGCCCCUGACCGAGGGAUAUCUUCAGGAAACCGGGGCUCAUACCGCAUAGGAGCUCCCGCUGCAUGGUGGGCGUUCGAAAGUUUCGGUGGUUGGGGAUGGACUCGCGGCUUAUCAGCUUGUUGGUGGGGUAGUGGCUUACCAAGGCUUUGACGGGUAGCCGGCCUGAGAGGGUGACCGGCCACAUUGGGACUGAGCUGCGGCCCAGACUCCUACGGGAGGCAGCAGUGGGGAAUAUUGCACAGUGGGCGGAAGCCUGAUGCAGCAACGCCGCGUGCGGGAUGACGGCCUUCGGGUUGUAAACCGCUUUCGCCUGUGACGAAGCGUGAGUGACGGUAAUGGGUAAAGAAGCACCGGCUAACUACGUG
rnacentral:rRNA from 1 species